rnacentral:rRNA from 1 species
AAACUUUGUUUCAAAGACUUCAUCGUCAGAUCUCAGCAGCUAAGCAGGGUUGGGCCUGGUUAGUAUUUGGAUGGGACACUGCUGGGGAUACCAGGUG